UCAGUCCACCUCAAUGCCAGCUGAAGGAAAGCCCCUUCCCAGCUGAGCAUCCAAUAAAAAUGGACUAAUAUUGAAGGAAAAUGUUUUAAUAUCCUAGUGCCUGAAGAUAGACCCUCUUCCCGCUCUCUUGGAACUUAAAACAACAUU
rnacentral:snoRNA from 1 species